UGCAUACUGAAUAACUCCAAUGAUUGUGGCCAUCUCAGGCAAGAACAAAGACAGAAAAUGGGACUCAUCCUAAUACUCUCCUGAUUGAAGAGUCCCCUAUAACCUAUUCAUCAAGCCAGAAGGAUAUGGUUUCUAUUGGAGUGUAAGCUUUAUAGCACUGCCCACAAUAUGGACACCACUGGAAGUAUCAUUUCCACUCUUAUCAAGCCAUGAGAGAAAAAAAUAAAGGAUGAUUCCCCUCAUGUUCUCUUGCUCAUAGAGGCCUAUAUCUUAGCCUUCUAGAGAUAAAGACAGAAUUAUCUCAACAUGUUAGAUGCCCAUAGUGAUGUUGUGUCAGGUUCACUGGAAGCCUGUCUUGGCUCAAGUCCAUGAUAGAAAAAAGAGAAAAUAAAAGGGAAAUUAACUUACAUAUAAAUCAUUUUUAAAUGCCUUGACAUCCUUCCCCAAUGUACCUGCUUUUGUUUAUUUUUCAGAGUCCUCAAGUAGUUGCUUUUUGUACUUUGAAUAAAGACUUUAGUCAUAGUAGGAGAGAUAGACUGUAAUGGACUUACUUCACGAUGGCUGCACCAGAGGUUCCAAGAACGAUGGCUUUCAACUUCAACCCACAUCUAAAACACACCACUGUAGCCACACCCUACACCCUGUGGUUAUCCAGUUGUGAGUCCUAUUGGAGAGAUGAGGAAGAAUAUCAUGAAUUUAGCUGGUAUUAGAAAGUAGAACUUGGAAAAUAGAGUGUAACUGGAAAAUGAAGGGACUUAACUGAGACAAACAGCCUCUUCUUAUCCAUUUUUAAAAUGUUCAGAUUUAACUAGAUGACCAUGACCAUGAAGAACUUCUCAAGCUCUUUGGUUCUACAGGUGUAUGACAGUUUCCUGGAGGGGGUCAUAUGGAUCUACUACUACCUUCCCACUGACAUUAGGCAGAUGUUCAUUAGAUUGGUUUGAUAGAUGUAAUGGUUAAUAUUGAGUGUCAACUUGAUUGGAUUGAAGGAUGCAAAGUAUUGUUCCUGGGUGCGUCUGUGAGGGUGUUGCCAAAGGAGAUUAACAUUUGAAUCAUUGGACUGGGAGAGGCAGACCCACCCUCAAUCUGGGUGGGCACAAUCUAAUCAGCUGCCAGCAUGGCCAGCAUAAAAGCAGGCAGAAGAAUGUGGAAGGAGUAGACUGGCUCAGUCUCCUGGCCUACAUCUUUCUCCCACGCUGCAUGCUUCCUGCCCUCGAACAUUGGACUCCAAGUUCUUCAGUUUUGGGACUCUUGAACCUUUGACCACAGACUGAAGGCUACACUGUUGACUUCCCUACUUUUGAGCUUUUAGGACUCGGACUGGCUUCCUUGUUCCUCAGCUUGCAGACGGCCUAUUGUGGGACCUCACUUUGUGAUCAUGUGAGUCAAUACUCCUUAAUAAACUCUCCUUUAAAUAUACAUCUAUCUUGUUAGUUCUGUCCCUCUAGAGAACCUUGACUAAUACGAUAGGGAAGCCAUAGUGACUGUCACUAAUAUUCUAAUAAAAGAAUUAUUAUCUAUGCCAACUCUGGAGAGCCACAGGUAAGCUAUACAUAGAUCAAAGUGUAAACCAGGGGUUCUCUGAGUGUGAUUCCUGGACCAGCAGUAUGUGGUGACAUUUGAAAUGCAAAUUCUUGGGCCCCACCUCAGACCACUGAAUUAGAAACUCCAGAGGUGGAGCUCAGCAGUUUGUUUUAACUAGUUCUCCAGGUGAUGCUGAGGCACAUCACAGUUGGAAAUGGUGAGGUAAGUAAGGAAUUUCAGCAGUUCAACUGCUGAAAUGUAGAUCUUAACAAAGUGCUAAAUGAAUAGAGGAAAAAGGGAUAAUUAUCUGAGACAUUUGGAUCUUGUUUCACGAAUAGGAGUUCAGAUGAAGUUAGGGAGGUCUUUUGAAGUAUAGGAAACAAGACAUGCAAAGACUGGGGAGGUUAGGAAGACCAGACCUAUUUCAAGAUAUACAAUGGCCUAGUGGGGCUUGAGGUAGCAGGGUGCAUUCUUUUUCUUAGAUAUGCUUCCUCCUCUCUGCUCCAUGGUGCCACACAUGAUGCUGGUGAUAAAGGAGACUGAGCGAGGGUAAAGAUUCACAGUGCCAGCAAGGGCUUGGACAUUGGCAGCCUAUGGAUCAAAUUGUGCUUGCAGAUGGGCUGUAUUUGGUAUUUUAUUGUACAAACACUAUGUAUUUGGCAUAGCAUUAUACAAAUAAAUGUGAACUAACAUUUAAUAAUCAGUUUGGAUGUAUAUAUGUGUAUAUAUAUUAUGUAUAAAUAACAUAUAUGCUAACACAAAAAUAUAUGUGCUAUAUUUAUAUUCUAUACAAAUAACAUAUAAAUAUAUGUUAACAUAUAAAAAUAUAUG
rnacentral:lncRNA from 10 species